UACGAAGGGGGGCUAGCGUUGUUCGGAAUUACUGGGCGUAAAGCGCACGUAGGCGGAUAUUUAAGUCAGGGGGUGAAAUCCCGGGGCUCAACCCCGGAACUGCCUUUGAUACUGGGUAUCUCGAGUCCGAGAGAGGUGAGUGGAAUUCCGAGUGUAGAGGUGAAAUUCGUAGAUAUUCGGAGGAACACCAGUGGCGAAGGCGGCUCACUGGCUCGGUACUGACGCUGAGGUGCGAAAGCGUGGGGAGCAAACAGG
rnacentral:rRNA from 1 species